rnacentral:lncRNA from 1 species
CCCAGAGGAAAAUAAUUAGUUGCUUUGUAGGGAGAAUAAAAACAAAUGCUGCUAUUUCUAUUUUAAUUUCAGCCACUGAUAAAACUCAAAAUUGAUCUACCUAUUUGUGAAAAUCAUGAACUCGUUAAUGCAGCAAUAGCAGAUUGCAUGUUACUCUUCAUGUCCAGAAAUUAAUCGGUACACUGUUCAUUGCAUAAUUGGUACAUUGUUUGGGGGAGGCAUGAAGUAACUGCCAACCCACACUGUAAACAGCGUGACCCAAAUACCCUUGGUGAGCAGGUUGCAAUCUAGCUUUUCUGAGACUUCAAAGCAUUUUAUGUCUCAUUUGUCCCAUUGUCCUUUCCUUCGGACUCGGCAAAUUAACUUUCAUUCUGCUCCAUGGUUUGCAGAUGAAUCUCAGAAGCAUCACAUCAGGACAGCAGGGAGUGUCUGGAGUCUCGCUGAGGACCUAGUCACUCAGAGCCUCCACUCCUCAUGCUGUCAGGGGACAAAAUGUAAAAUCAUCCUCAUCAUCAUCAUCGUCAUCAUCAUCGUCACUCAGUGGUGUCACCCAAGGAACUAUUCUACCUCCAGUUGUUCUGGGUGUCAGCAGACAAAUGUGCUACCUGGGCCACCCCAUGUCCAUGGAGAGAACUAACUGCUGCAACUGAAUAAGACAAGUCAGUGGUGUGAUGUAUUUGAUCUGCAUCAUUGCCAUUGUGCUGCAUGCUAAUUAGCUAUAAAUAAUGAGCCAUGAAUAUCAAUGUGUAUAAUGAGCAUUGCUUUCAUAGUCAUGUCCAUUUUUUAAAAUUUCCUUCUUCUCAUUUUGCCCAUUUUUUAUAUCUGUAAUUAGCAUCAAUGUGAGCAACUUUUAGUGUUCGUUUCACAGUCAUCACAAACAAGAAAGGUCAUCCACAGUUAAAAGCAGAGCUUGGAGUCCUCGAGCCAAGAUGCUCCACCCCAUGGGGCUUCAGCCAUGGUUCACAUACGGGAAACAAGUGAAACAAGUGCUGCCGGGGGCUCAGGAGAGCAGUGCUUCUGUGGGUCUGGAAUCCAACACCUGGGGACAGAGAUGGAGCCACAAUCAGUCCCCAGGUCCACAACUCAGGAGAGAGGGUCACUGAGGGAAAGAGAGGGCAGCAUCUCCACUACUCACCCGUGUAGGCAAGUUCCUUUCUCCACCAACUCUACAGGAAACUAGACAGGAAGGGAAUCUGGAGAAUGUGACCCCAAGCUCCAUCAGGGUGUCAAUAGACACAGUUCGCUAAAAAGAGUGAAAGCAGGAAAAUCAGUUAGAAAGUUAUAUUACAGAUGUUCAAGCAAGAUACAACUCACAGAGAAGGGCAGGAAAUGAUCUGAGUGAAAGAAACGAAAUCAAGAGAACUUGACAAGUCACCAAACAAAACUAAAGAAU